GGCUUACAGCUAGCCACUUUGAAGGUUCCCAGAGAGCUUGUUUAAAUCUCUUAUGAGUACUUAUUCAUUGGACGGGAUAAAAUCUAUCCAAUGGGGGAAGACUCAUGAAAGGGAUGUCUUAAAUUAUUUGAAAAAUAAUUUAAACAUCAAUGCUGUGCCAACAAGAAUUUGGAUGUCUAAAUCACGACUCUUUGGAGUUUCUAGUUCUCAGUUCUAGACACAGUUAGAGAGGUUCUUGCUAAAGACGACAAAAAAAGAGCCGGUUUGCAAUGAAAGUAAGCUUAUAGAAUUGUAGUAGUCAGAACAACUAUGUAAACAGAUAAAUUAUAAUAACCUAGCUUUGACUAAAAAUUAAAUGAUUGUCUUAUGUUGUUCGUUUA